AGGGGCUAAAGUUGGUAAUGAACAGCAGUUUAUGGUUGGAGUGGGAAUCAUCAGCAAGGAUGUUUUUUUGGGUGACCCGUUAGAGGUCUCAAAGAUGGUGAAGGAUGAAUUGGGUAAAGUGGAAUCGGUUUGAGUGACCAGGAGCGGUAUGAUGCUGAUUGUGUGUCAACAGCACAAAAGGUGAAGCUCUGUGACUCAACAAGAUGUGGACGUACGAUGUGGAAGGCUAUGACUUUCAGAGUAGGGCACCGGUUAAAAGUGUCAUCUCUGGUGUUGCGUUGGACAUAGAGGCUGGGUGGUUUAGGG